CUGCAAGUAUUUUUGUGCAGCUGAAAUACUGAGUGCAAGUGGCCAAAAGUGAAAUUGGAGGAAAAAAGCAGAUCAGGAGAUAAUUAUGGCCAUAACAUAGGAUUUUCAUACUUCCCUAAAGGCCAAGGGAAACUACUGAAGGAGUUUCAGCAGAGGUGUGACCUGAUCCCCCCUGGUCUGAAGAAAAAUCUGUAUGAUGGCUGCUUGGAGAACAGAUGAAAAUGGGGAGAGUCUGGAAGCAGGAAGAAGACGUCUUGGAAUAGUAUAGCAACAGCCUGCAACAUGUGAAGAAGGCUCGGACGGAAGCAGGGGCGGCAGAGGCCAAAGGAAAAGGGACCGGCAAAGGAAUGACAAGGAGGGAGAAUAACCAUGCCCUGCAGAAUGCCCUCUCCCCUGGGAAUGCCCUCCAGAGGCAGAGGCUGACAACACCCUACUCAACUCUCGCAGUUUUGUUCAGGGUGGAAUCUUCUUCGUGUCCCAGGCAGAGACAGUUCCUUCCUCCCCGCUCCUGGAGCACUUUGUGCCAACCUCUUCCAUAGCACUUAACACUCCUUCGUAAUUGCUCUAUGUCUGCUUCCCCCCAAAGACUGAGUGUUUUGAAGACAGAAGCCAUGUCCUGUUCACCUCCUCUUCUCCCAAAUGGUAUCUGACCUGCAACAGGCAGGCAGUGGCUGAUCAGGGACAGCCAGGGAGCACCAGCAUACUGAAGAGCCUCCCCCAUGAAGCCAUGCUGUGGACCUGUCCCCUCUUCUACCUCACCCUCUCCUGUGCAGGGGUCUCAUUGGAUAUCGUUUUGAAACCAGACACCGACACCCUGACUGUUCUAGUUGGGGAGCCUGCCACCUUCCGAUGCAGCAUAACGGGAGGGGACUGGAAAAAUUAUCAAGUGAGCUGGUAUAAGAAGAAUGAAGAUAACUCCCUGACUUUAGUAUACAGACUAAGCAACAGUUCUAAUGCCAAUAUAAGCAGUAAUUACAAAGGAAAUAUUGAUGCUUUAAAGGGCCAAUGUAUACUUGACAUUCAAAGAGCAACAAUAAAAGACACUGGGACCUACUACUGUGCGUCCGAUAUCCACAGUGCUACAGCCCUGCAAGCUGGUCUCCUCAGAACCCUUGAGUCAAACCAAGAGGGGCAGGUCCAAUGAGAAGACCACCUGUAGCUAAAAUGUGCACCACACUGAGGUGAGACCACCUGAUAAUCUCAACAGUAACAUCUGAUAAGAGAGACAAGAGCUAAGUUGGGGCAAGGGCCUUAUCUUUGUGGUUGGUUGAGACGGGGCUUAGUUAUCAGUCAAAGAGGGCAGAAAAUCUCACUAGGGUUUAUGCAAAGCGACCAAGGGGGCCCUGCACCUGACUCUCAGGGACUUCUGAGAAGAGGUUGAAAAACAAACAAUCUUCAAUGCUGAGAAGGUUUUCUUAUUGUGGGGGCAGGCUGAGAUGAACAGAAUUUCUACUAUCAUGAGUGUUGUAGCUCAUUCCAGAGUCUUUAUUGUGAAAGCAUUCGUGUGCAUAAACUAGAUAAAGCAAGGAUGGUUUUCCAUUACCAUCCUAAUCAAAAUUUCCAAAGCUAUUAGAGAUAGCUUUAACUCUUACUCUGUGAAGAAGGAUGAAUAGAGUCAUUUUCUGAAAUGCUCCCUAACUAUUUCAGAUAUUGAAUGUUUUAUAUCAUCCCUUAGUCACGGAGGAGUUCAGGG